rnacentral:rRNA from 1 species
GAUCAUGGCUCAGAUUGAACGCUGGCGGCAGGCUUAACACAUGCAAGUCGAACGGUAACAGGAGAGAGCUUGCUUUCUUGCUGACGAGUGGCGGACGGGUGAGUAAUGCUUGGGAAUCUGGCUUAUGGAGGGGGAGUAACGACGGGAAACUGUCGCUAAUACCGCGUAGAGUCGAGAGACGAAAGUGCGGGACCGCAAGGCGCAUGCCAUAGGAUGAGCCCAAGUGGGAUUAGG